rnacentral:rRNA from 1 species
GACGAACGCUGGCGGCAGGCUUAACACAUGCAAGUCGAGCGCCCCGCAAGGGGAGCGGCAGACGGGUGAGUAACGCGUGGGAACGUACCCUUUACUACGGAAUAACGCAGGGAAACUUGUGCUAAUACCGUAUGUGCCCUUUGGGGGAAAGAUUUAUCGGUAAAGGAUCGGCCCGCGUUGGAUUAGCUAGUUGGUGGGGUAAAGGCCUACCAAGGCGACGAUCCAUAGCUGGUCUGAGAGGAUGAUCAGCCACAUUGGGACUGAGACACGGCCCAAACUCCUACGGGAGGCAGCAGUGGGGAAUAUUGGACAAUGGGCGCAAGCCUGAUCCAGCCAUGCCGCGUGAGUGAUGAAGUCCCUAGGGUUGUAAAGCUCUUUCGCCGGAGAAGAUAAUGACGGUAUCCGGAGAAGAAGCCCCGGCUAACUUCGUGCCAGCCGCCGCCGUAA